rnacentral:lncRNA from 1 species
AAUUGGAGGGUUUGAGCUGGCUCACGGGAGUGAAACAGAGAGGAGAGGGGGAGGGUUCUCAGACGACACAGAGAGAAAGAAAAAGAGAAGAAGAAGAAGAAAAAGAAGAAGGAAGAGGGAUUCGAGGUGGAAGGGAGUCCCGAUUGCACUUCCAGCUGCAGGGAAAAGUGUAGAUCUCCUUUUUCUCUACGCAAGGACCUCGAUUUCCAAAAAGAAAAAGGUAAAUAUCCGUCCCUAUCUAGUCUUUUGAUGACAUUAGGCUAUACAAAGGGUAGAUAUAGUCUAGAGGGUCGGAUAAGGGUUGUAGAGGCGGUUAAAAGAGGAAGAAUCGGAUUUUGACAAAUUUUUCCGGCACUACGGAAAA